rnacentral:rRNA from 1 species
GACGAACGCUGGCGGCGUGCUUAACACAUGCAAGUCGAGCGGUAAGGCCCUUUCGGGGGUACACGAGCGGCGAACGGGUGAGUAACACGUGGGUGACCUGCCCUUAGCUCUGGGAUAAGCCUGGGAAACUGGGUCUAAUACCGGAUAUGACUCCAUGACGCAUGUUGUGGGGUGGAAAGCCUUGUGCGGCUAGGGAUGGGCCCGCGGCCUAUCAGCUUGUUGGUGGGGUGAUGGCCACCAAGGCGACGACGGGUAGCCGGCCUGAGAGGGCGACCGGCCACACUGGGACUGAGACACGGUCCAGACUCCUACGGGAGGCAGCAGUGGGGAAUCUUGCGCAAUGGGCGAAAGCCUGACGCAGCGACGCCGCGUGAGGGAUGACGGCCU